rnacentral:rRNA from 1 species
GAUGAACGCUGGCGGCGUGCCUAAUACAUGCAAGUCGAGCGAACAGAUAAGGAGCUUGCUCCUUUGACGUUAGCGGCGGACGGGUGAGUAACACGUGGGUAACCUACCUAUAAGACUGGAAUAACUCCGGGAAACCGGGGCUAAUGCAGGAUAACAUGUUGAACCGCAUGGUUCUACAGUGAAAGGCGGCUUUGCUGUCACUUAUAGAUGGACCCGCGCCGUAUUAGCUAGUUGGUGAGGUAACGGCUCACCAAGGCAACGAUACGUAGCCGACCUGAGAGGGUGAUCGGCCACACUGGAACUGAGACACGGUCCAGACUCCUACGGGAGGCAGCAGUAGGGAAUCUUCCGCAAUGGGCGAAAGCCUGACGGAGCAACGCCGCGUGAGUGAUGAAGGUCUUCGGAUCGUAAAACUCUGUUAUUAGGGAAGAACAAAUGCGUAAGUAACUGUGCGCGUCUUGACGGUACCUAAUCAGAAAGCCACGGCUAAUUACGUG